CUAAUCGGAUUUCACCAGAGCCCAGGGCUUGGGGGGGCUGAGUAAUUUGGCUUGAUGCAGUGGUGGGAGAUGUCAGGGCCAGGAGGCCGGACAAUCUGUCUGAGUGGUGUUAGCAUUGUCCAGAGCAAUUAUCCUGAGGGACCACACAGACAUCAGACAGACGGACAGACAAGGGAACGGGACUGAUCCCCAAGUCCUUUAGCAGGAAGGAUGGAAGUGAGACUUGGAGAAUGGGAGGAGCAUCUCCUACAGGUUGAGCCAAAUUGAGCAACUAGAAGAGGAUCAAGAUGAGUCUGAGAGAGUGGCCAUGGGACCAAGUGGGAGGACGACCCAAGAAUCCUAGCUUCCAGCCUACUCAACACCGAGGCCCAGCCCUGCCUUGCCCUGCACUCCCAGGGAACAAGUCACAGAGCAGGAACUUGAACCUAAGGUGAUUCUUCUGAGCCCUGCUCCUUCCCCUGCAAUGUUCCCAAAAGACAAUUUCCUUGCCCCUGGCCCUGGCUCUGUCAUUUGCCUUCUCUUGCUCCUGCAGCCCUCUUGAACCUGUCCUUUCCUUCCCACCCAUACUGCCCCUCUCAUCUCUCUGGUGAUCCCUCUCUCUGUCUCUGUCCUCCAUUUCACAUCUUUCAGAAUAGUGGUAAGGGUGAUAGUAACAAUAACUAACCGUUAGUGAGUGCUUUGUCCACACCGGACACCACCCUGAGUGCUUUAUGUGGAUUGUUUCCUUUACUCCUCUCAGCAACACUUUGAGGGACAUACUUUUUUUUUUUUUUCUUUUUUGAGACAGAGUUUUGCUCUAUCACCCAGGCUGGAGUGCANNNNNNNNNNNNNNNNNNNNNNNNNNNCUGCCUCCCAGGUUCAAGGGAUUCUCCUGCCUCAGCCUCCUGAGUAGCUGGGAUUACAGGCACCUGCCACCACGCUCGGCUAAUUUUUAUAUUUUUAGAAGAGACAGCGUUUCACUAUGUUGGCCAGGCUGGUCUUGAACUCCUGACCUCAGGUGAUCUGCCUGCCUCAGCCUCCCAAAGUGCUGUAGAGAUGGGGGUCUCACUAUAUUGCCCAGGCUGGUCUCAAACUCCUGAGCUCAAGUGAUCCUCCCACCUCAGCUUCCCAAAGUGCUGAAAUUACAGGCAUGAGCCA
rnacentral:lncRNA from 1 species